rnacentral:rRNA from 1 species
AUUGAACGCUGGCGGCAGGCUUAACACAUGCAAGUCGAGCGAGCGGCGGACGGGUGAGUAAUGUAUGGGAAUCUGCCUGAUGGAGGGGGAUAACUACUGGAAACGGUAGCUAAUACCGCAUACCAUCAGAUGUACCCAGAUGGGAUUAGCUAGUAGGUGGGGUAAUGGCUCACCUAGGCGACGAUCCCUAGCUGGUCUGAGAGGAUGACCAGCCACACUGGGACUGAGACACGGCCCAGACUCCUACGGGAGGCAGCAGUGGGGAAUAUUGCACAAUGGGCGCAAGCCUGAUGCAGUCAUGCCGCGUGUGUGAAGAAGGCCUUCGGGUUGUAAAGUACUUUCAGUCGGGAGGCGUUACCCGCAGAAGAAGCACCGGCUAACUCCGUGCCAGCAGCCGCGGUAAUUC